rfam:Felis catus isolate Cinnamon breed Abyssinian chromosome C1, whole genome shotgun sequence.
GCCUGGGUGGCUCAGUCGGUUGAGCCUCUGACUUCAACUCAGGUCAUGAUCUCACGAUUCGUGGAUUCGAGCCCCGCAUCAGGUU